rnacentral:tRNA from 1 species
UGGCUCAGUCAGUUAAGAGCGCUGGCUGCUCUUCCAGAGGUCCUGGGUUCAAUUCCCAG